GAUGAACGCUGGCGGCGUGCCUAAUACAUGCAAGUCGAGCGAACAGAUGAGGAGCUUGCUCCUCUGACGUUAGCGGCGGACGGGUGAGUAACACGUGGAUAACCUACCUAUAAGACUGGGAUAACUUCGGGAAACCGGAGCUAAUACCGGAUAAUAUAUUGAACCGCAUGGUUCAAUAGUGAAAGACGGUUUUGCUGUCACUUAUAGAUGGAUCCGCGCCGCAUUAGCUAGUUGGUAAGGUAACGGCUUACCAAGGCGACGAUGCGUAGCCGACCUGAGAGGGUGAUCGGCCACACUGGAACUGAGACACGGUCCAGACUCCUACGGGAGGCAGCAGUAGGGAAUCUUCCGCAAUGGGCGAAAGCCUGACGGAGCAACGCCGCGUGAGUGAUGAAGGUCUUCGGAUCGUAAAACUCUGUUAUUAGGGAAGAACAAAUGUGUAAGUAACUAUGCACGUCUUGACGGUACCUAAUCAGAAAGCCACGGCUAACCACGUG
rnacentral:rRNA from 1 species